UACCGCCACCAGCAACCACCACUGCCGCCGCCACACCUUCUCCCUCACUGCCCUCUCUCUCGUCGCCUUAGUGAUUUCAAUUUAUCUCAGAAAGGGGGCGAGAGAUUCAUUUCAGAGCAAUUUCGAUUUUGAUUUCGAAGUUCUCUCUCAAUUUCGAAGUUCUGUCUCUCUCGAUUUCGAAGCUCCACCGUCACUACCGUCUGCACCAGCGAGAGUGAGCACCAUCGUCUACUAAGAUAAGGAUCGGAAACUUGGAUUUAGACUUGAUUGACUUUGCAGUGAAACUGAUAUCAUAGUAGAAGAGCUCACGACGCAGGAUAGUAGUCUCAUUCUUAUGCAGAAUUUUCCUGCAAGAAAAUACAUUAUAGUGAAGAAUUUUUUUAGUUAUAUUUUUUUUUCCAAUUUCUUCUUUCUUUCCUAUGAUUUUUGACCUCACUACAUGCUUCCUACAUUGUUUUGAGAGAAAUGCAUCGCAGGAGGGCUGAAGCCUCAUUCUUACGCAAAUUUUUUGGGCAAGACUAAUGUGUUCCAUGUCUCUUUAGUCACUUAAGUUUUAAUAUAUCUUAAUGGCUUGUAAAGAUAUUAGAUAUAUGAUUGUUAUACUUGGAUUUUUCUGGAUUGUAGUAAUAUCUUUUUGGGCUUUUGGGAUUGCAGAUUUUUUUUACAGGCUUUGGAAUAGGAGAUCAAUGCUCUAAUCGAGGAGUUAAACGGUUCACUGAGCAAGUGGUCAAAAUCUGAAGGAUACUGCAU